rnacentral:rRNA from 1 species
UACAGAGGUCUCGAGCGUUAGGCGGAAUCACUGGGCGUAAAGCGUGCGCAGGCGGUUCGUUGUGUCGGUGGUGAAAUCCCCGGGCUUAACCUGGGAAUGGCCAUGGAAACUGGCGAACUGGAGUGUGGCAGAGGGGGGUGGAAUUCCGCGUGUAGCAGUGAAAUGCGUAGAGAUGCGGAGGAACACCGAUGGCGAAGGCAGCCCCCUGGGCUAGCACUGACGCUCAGGCACGAAAGCGUGGGGAGCAAACAGG